AGAUGAGGAGGUAGGGAUAGGGAGGGUCCAAGUGAACACAGGAAGACAGACAGAUGCUGGUGAUCUUUGGCUCUGCAAGGUGAGUCAGAGAGCAGAGAGGAGAGUGACUCCCAGGUCGCUGGCCUGGGAGAUUGAGUCCACAGGGACCGGGGAACAACAGCCUGUUUGGGGCAUGAUGACCAUCUGAGUCGUCUAGAGGGGUGUGGCCAUGACCAUCCUGGGGUGGUGGCCAAAUGGCAUCCUGACAGACGGAAGGUUCAUCACUCACCCAGGAGAGAGAACCCAGCGUGCGGGUGGCAUCCAUCCCACCAGCUGCAGGCCAGGGAGCCUGUUUCCUGCAGAUCUUCACCCUGAGGGGGAGGCCAGGACCCGUCAGCAGCCCCGCUGACUCACUGCCAUGCCCACUGAAGAGGCUGACAGGAGGGGACGUACAGAGCCUGCCCACCUGUGAGAAUAGGCCUGGCCGGGAUCCCCAGUUCUCACAGCCUCGGCACCAUCUGGGCUCCUCGAGCUGGGGCUGCCUGGGACCCCAGGACUCAGACCCCUUCCGUCCCACGCCCUCGCCUUUUCGUCCAGAGGCGACACUCACAUGAAGAAGAUGAGGCAGGGACAGAGACUGAGCAGGCCAGCAACACCGGCACCCGCGACGGCCCCCAGAACGAAUCCUCCCUCAAGCUCAGGCUUCCCUGCAGGGCGUGACAUUUCCAAGGUUCUCCCGCCUUGUGGCGCCUGCCUGGGCCUCGCUCCUGUUCAUGCAGAAUCAAGUUCAUCGCAUGGUCAGAUCGCCUUGUGCUUAUCCGUCCAUUGAUGGACACUGACCUCUUCGAGGCUCUGCGCCCAGUGCGGGGCUCAUACUCAUGACCCUAAGAUCAAGAGUUGCAGGCACCACGGACCGAGCCAGCCAGGCGCCCCUGGUGCCUUAACUGGGGUGGUGAGUACCAAGGUGUUCAUUGGAUGGUGAUUCUUUGUAACUUGCCUGUAUUUGACAAAAAGGCUUUGCAUAUAAUGAAUAGUAAGCGAAGAUCAUGGAGGGGGGGCCUCCCAGCUCUGCUCUCCCUGUGUGUCGACCUGGCCCUCCCGGCUUGGCUUUGAGCUCCAGGCUCUGCUCUGCUGGGGGGAUGUGCUCCCAUCCAGCCUUAGGGAGGGGGCCCUCCCGACUCACCUGUGCAGUUUCUUCGGGAGAUGGUGAUGCUCAGGUUCUGUGGGGCAUCUGGGACAGAGAGACACAGUGACAAAUGGGGUCGGAACUGGCCCUUCCCCUGCCAUCCAUCCCCAGGAGACACAGGAAUGGGAACUGACACAGACAAGCCCAGUGUCCUCCCUGCAGCCCCUCUGCGCCUCCCCGACCCACCCGCAGGUACCCAAGUCCAGGCCCUACACGCACAGAAGACGUUGAGCGUAAUGGUGCUUUGGGUGCUCACGCCAGCCCUGGGGAAGGUCACCCAACAGGGGCUGGGGACAAAGGGGAGAACAGGACCCACCUGACUCCUGCCCGCAGGACCCGGGGCUCGAACUUACAACCCUGUGAUCAAGACCUGAGCUGAGAUCAAGAAUUGGACACUUGACUGACUGAGCCACCCAAGCGCCGCUAGAUUUGAAUUUGUGUUUUGUAAGUGAAGUCUCAUGGGAUGAGGAGCUCCGGAGGGGGAAACUGGAACCUUGGAUCACAUGCUUCUCCCACCCUCCCCCUCCCCCACCCCUCACCGCCAGGGCAGGUUCUCAGCCCCACUCCCACCCCCAAGCCCCACCUGGGCACAGAGAGGAUCUGAGCUUUGCUGAGAGGUGGGAGCUCCACACCUCUAUACUGCCCACCAGUGGUCUACACUGCCCACCCACCCCCCAGUCAAGCCUGAGGGUCACACCUUUCCUGCUCCCAGAGGCUGCUCUGAGGACACACAGCCUUGAGAACACCUGUACCGUGCAGUGACUGAACCCAGUUAAGGCCUCCCCAUAUACAAACUUCAAGAUUUGGAAGGACAGGUGCACAGCCUACCGGUCUUGCCGCAGCCCAAGACAAGCUCCAAUGGAAGUUCCCUUUGCUUAUUUAAACUGCCACCUAGGGGCGC